rnacentral:misc_RNA from 1 species
AUUGCUGGGGAGAUCAUUAAGAAGAUGGGUUCUCGAGCCCUUGACGAGAUUGGAUUCUGGUGGGGUGUCAAAGAUGAGCUUAGGAAACUUGAGGCCACAGUUUCUAGUAUCCAUAAUGUGCUUCUGGAUGCUGAGGAGCAGCAAAAACAUAACCAUCAAGUGAAAGGCUGGCUUGAGAAGCUACAAGAAGUUGUUUAUGAUGCUGAU